AUGGAGGAUGGACGGACCCAAAGUGCCUGCGUCCGUAGAGAUGCGUGUAUGCACAUGGACACACACGCCGCCUCCUUGGCAGCCGGUCUCCGCUCCCCGGAGUCCCCGCGCGCUGCGGACCGCCUGCCUUCCUCCCGGCCGUCCCGAGGCUCGCCUGGCGGGCCCGACCCCAGCCCGGCCUCGCUCGCCCCCUCCCUCCGCACACUGCAGCACGUCUGCCCGGAGCUGUCCCCCGCGCCCAGACUGGCACGCCAGCAAGUCCCGGGGAGGACAAAGUUUGCCGCCCCUCGGGACGCUCUCCGUCCGCGGGGGUCCCGGGGGGAGGGGAGGGCGCGCCGGCCCGGCCGGGGGUCGCGGGCGCCGCUCUCCGGGGCAGCGCGAGCGCGGGGUCGCCGGCUCCGUCCGCGCCCCGUGCCUUCCCCGCCCCGCUGUCCCCGGGCUGCGGGCACAUCCCAGGCGCGCCGCCCCUCCUCCUGCCGCCCGCUUCCUCCUUCCCUCCCUCCCUGCGCCGCCCGCCGCGGCCGCGGCCGCCUGAAGGGCACCGCGGCCGCGCCGCCGCCGCCUCGCCCCGGCCGGCGGCGAGUUGGGGGAAGUCGCCCGCCGCCCCAGCGGCCGGCCUGCCUGCCCUCCCACCGCCCGGCGGCCGCGGCGCCCAGCCCAGCCCCGCCCCGCCCCCAGCCCCCGCUCCCGGGCGCGCUGGCUCACCGUCCGGCGCUGCUGCUGGUGCCGGGGGCGGCUGACGCCCAGCCCGGGGAAGCAGCCGGCAGUCAGCGCCCCGCAGCCGCCGGCGCCCCCGCCGCCGCCCCGGGAGGAAAGGAGCAGCAGGAGCGAUCUACCUGCGGCGGCCGCCAUCUCUCAACUGGAAGCGGCGCCGACCUAGGCAGCGCAGCGGACGGCCGGGGCGGGGCCGAUGCCCGCCAUUCACUAGCGACCGGCCAACCAGCGCGCUCGCUCGAGUCGGCGAGGCGGAGCCGCUCGGAGCGCCCAAUCGAAAAGCGGCAGGGCGGUACCAGGGGCUGUCAGUCUCCACCCGAGUUACCUAUAGUGGGACACGGUCAAUUACGGGCAGAUUCUAGGGAACCGGUAAUUGGCACCCGAGCCCCCCGGAGCGGCCUCUGUAGCGGGGGCAUGCCCGGUUCGGCAAAGCUUCCCAAGCGUAGAGCGGGGCUCGGGAUCGCUGAGGGAAGGAGGGAAAAGGCGUUAUGCGGAGCUCUGCAACGAGUGCAUUUUCCAAGUUGGAGGAAAAAAGAGGCACCAAUAAAACUAAUCAUUAACUAG
rnacentral:lncRNA from 1 species